AAGAGCCGGAUGAGCCGAGAGGUUCAUGUCCGAUUCUGUGAGGGACUGAGGGGGAAGCUCCCUCGGUCCACUCGAC
rnacentral:ncRNA from 1 species